GAACCUGCGGAGGGAUCAUUCCAAUAGCGCGCGGUUCAUAGGUUCUUUGCCUGCGCAAGCAGUGUAAAAAGGUUUUUUAGCUUUGGAGGUGUCGGGUACUGAUCCGAGGAAGGACGCAGUUACACGCGAUAUUCAACCUGAAUCGCAAAACUGCGGAUGGCCGGGUGUCUGAAUGCUCAAAGCCGGAGCUACUGGUCACGCUCCAACACACCCCUUCGGUGUCUCACUUCCGCGUGAUGUGAGAAUUCAAAAAUAUU
rnacentral:misc_RNA from 1 species